UUUUCUUCCCAAAAUAUCUCACUAAAUUCUAAUAGAUUUUUAUUAUCUUUCUCACAAAAUAUUUUGGGAAUCAUAGGAAUAUUUGUGCUUGUGACUUUUAGCUAUCGGAUCAUCUCAAGAAACGUGCAGCAUUAUUGACGGUGUGUUUCAUUAAGUCUCUUUUACUAAUAUUGCAUAAAUUUUAAGGCGAUUCGAUGGCUAAAAACAUAUAAGCACGUUGAGCUCCUGU
rnacentral:lncRNA from 1 species